CUUUCUACACCCGUCCCCACCACAAAGAGAGACUGGAUAUAGUUCCCUGUGGUGUAUAGUAGGAUAAAGACUACAUUUCCGAGGCACAUCCGCGUUCUCUGCCCUGGCAUCAUGAAUGUCUACCUCUGGGGCUCUUUUCUUCGCUUCAAUGAUAGACGGUGCCUGUCUUUUGAGAAUUGCCUGGGAACUCCAGAGCAGUCAAUGCAGCCACUUUCUGGAACAUUAUAUAACCAAAAAAAAGGUAAGACGAUAGCAGUGGGCCCCUUAUGCUCUUUCAUAAAAUUGGCACACACUACUUCCAUCCGCAUGCCUUGGCCAAAACAAGUCAUGUGAUUCACGCAACUUUUAGGGUCACAGGACAUGCAAUCCUACAAGGAGCCUAGAAAGUGGAGUGGGAACUAUUUAUCUCUAGUGAUGAUCUUAGAUCUCCAGCUUACAGCAACUAAUCCCUUAUCUUGCUUCAAAGUACUCUCGUCUUCAGAUUUUUAACCUGUAUGUCAUAUACGUAAGAAUUAAAGAUUUGUUAAUGAUAUUCAACAUUAUAAUAAUGUAAG
rnacentral:lncRNA from 1 species